CACGUAGGGGGCGAGCGUUGUCCGGAUUUAUUGGGCGUAAAGAGCUCGUAGGCGGCUCGGUAAGUCGGGUGUGAAAACUCGGGGCUCAACCCCGAGACGCCACUCGAUACUGCUGUGGCUUGAGUCCGGUAGGGGAGCGUGGAAUUCCUGGUGUAGCGGUGAAAUGCGCAGAUAUCAGGAGGAACACCGGUGGCGAAGGCGGGUCUCUGGGCCGAUACUGACGCUGAGGAGCGAAAGCUGGGGAGCGAACAGG
rnacentral:rRNA from 1 species